CAUUGAACUCGUUCAGAUGUCUGCAAAAAUAUGAUACCUUGGAGUCUGUUUCCAAUAGAAUGUAUAUUAAAUCCUAUGCAAAAGGAACCUGGAUCACAGUUUCAAGUGCAGCACAAAGACCAUCACUAGAGGACAGGCUUGGAUUGAGUGGAAACAGACAGGAAGGCUUCAGAGUGUUAGAGACAGCUUCAUUUCUACAGAGAGGUUUCUUGUAGGCAGGGUCUGCACCGAAGUAACUUUUGUUGAGAAACUACAAUGAAACCCUGAUUGCUUCUGAAUCACAUACAAGCAUGUGCAGCUGUUCUGGUGGUCCUGGUGUAUGUAUGUAAGCAGUCAUCAAGGUGUGGAGAAUGGGUCAGGCUUAGCAAGGUGUGAGGAACCCAGAGGCACUGUUCCACUCCACUCCACUCCACUCCCUUCUAACUAACUUGUGGAGUUCACAUCACUCACAGUUCACUGUGCAGUUCAUGCAUCACUGUGCUUGUCAGAACAUGGAACCCACUGCCAUGGUUCUUUCCUUCCUGUCAGCGCUCAUGAUCCACCGUGCAGUGGAAGACAGUGUGACUAAACAACUUAAUCUGAGCACCCCUAAAUCCCUGACAGCUGGAACAGUGGCUUGUUUGCAAUUUCCUGGGACAGCAAGCAUUUGGCUCCUGCUUAGGUGCUUGCUCAGGUGCUUACUCGAAUAUGGAUUGUGAAAUUGGGUUGUUGUCAAGUGUAACCACAGCUGUGUUUUUUUCAGCAAUCAGUACAGGCAUUUUACAAAACCUCAGGCUAGUGCUGGGCAGGAACAUCAAGGGACACAGGCAUGUUGCUUUGUCUGCUUGCUUGUGCAGAACAAUAAGUGGUGCAGCAAUUGGGAUGAAAACAGACAGGCACGUCUUUAAUGUGGGAAUUGUCAGGUAAUCUCACGUGUGAGUACAACUAUU